UGUUGCGGCCAUGACUCCCGAAGAGAGAGAUGCAUACCUGACAGAAAGGCAUCAAGCUAAAAUUCGCGAUGUGGCUACUUACGUAGCUAUAGCACUUGAAUCAAUGCAGGGCAAAGAAUGCAUCUACGCCCCAUACGCCUUUGACGACCACUGGAUUACUUUUCUUCUAUAUCCAAAGUAUAACGAAGUUAUAGUCUUGGAUUCUCUUGAUAAAGACAUACAAUCAUAUCAGGAAAUCCUCAGAAUCUUCGAUCUUGCAUAUAAAAGGUAUUACCAGGUAGGCGGACAACGGCGAAACGACAGAGAUCAAAUAUACAUCCGCAAUAAGUGGCCGGUAAUUAAUUUUGGACGACAUACAACUACUUAAUUUUUUAUAAAUGCACGUGUAUAUCCAUUUAUAAUUAACUAAUAUACCUUAUAUUGAUGUCAAAAGUGUCACAAGCAACCGAAGGGAAGCGUACUAUGUGGAUAUUAUACUUGCGAGUUCCUUAGGAUCAAUGGUCAAUAUUGCAAAAAUUAUGGAGAUGCAAGUAGAUGCCAUCAAUACGUUUGUUAAAUUAAUUGCUAACUUUGAAUUGCUAACAAGUUCUGUUGCCAUUAUCUCGAUGCAGCUUCUAAAAUUCCCCAAGAGUGAUAGGGAGCUGGAUGAUAAAUCCAUUCAGAAUAUACAACGAGACUUGUGCUAUUUCAUUCACAAUGAAUGUUGUCACCAGCUUGGGAGGUUUUUUGAUAAAGAAGGGCUUUUGGGCUUGCCAGAAAACGAUAUUCUUUCUAACUGGAGCAAGCAUGCAAUUUAAAUUCAACGUCAAUAUCAUUAGUCGACUUUUAAGACUAGCAGUAGUGGGAUAUAGUAGUAGUUAGCACAUAGCUGAUUUUGCUGUUUAUAUAUGUGAAAAUGUCCAGGUCUGCAGGUGAUGGAGAAGAAGGUGGUGAAGUCUGAAAUCUGAAAUCUGAAAUCUGAAUUUACUUUUGAAUCUGAAAUCUGGAUGGUGGUACCUCCUGCUAUUUUUGUUGCUGCUGCUAUUCUGAUCUGAAAAUAGAUAUUGAAAUGCAGCACAUGUAUGUUUCAGACAAUAUAUUAAAAUUGAGAUGAACUAUGCUGCUGCUUCUGCUGAUUGCGAUUGAACUGAUUCAGGUGAAUGCUAGCUUUAUAUAUAUAGGGACAUUUUAUUUUGUAACUGAAACUGAUCUGCAAGAUGAAAAAUGAUGUGAUGAUGUCCCAGCUGUAUAUAUGUGAUGUAUGGCUAAAUAUAUGUGAAGAGCUGUAGGACUGAAUAUGAAUACGAGCUAUGAAUCUAAGUCUGAAUCUGAAUUUAGUGCAGUUGCAGUACUGAACCAUUGCAGAUGGGAUUUUCCAGGAGAUGAGCUGUUUGCUGGAUUUUCAGGAAUUGGUACAUUCAGGAUUCUGUGCUGCAAUUUUUGAAUUUACUCUCUGAAAUGGAUAUGUUCUGUUCAGAAAUAUAUGCACAUAAGUUAAUAAAUGGGUAGAUGCAGAAAUAUAUAUACUUGUCCUGAAAUUUAUAUGUUAUGUUCUGAAAAUUGUAUACAUAUGCUGAUCUGAAACUGAUCAAGUGCAAAUGUAAUUUAAAUUAUAUAUAUUCUGAAAUCUGUCCUAGUAUAUGUUUUGGAGAGCUG